AGCUCGUGUUGUGAAAUGUUGGGUUAAGUCCCGCAACGAGCGCAACCCUUAUCCUUUGUUGCCAGCACGUUAUGGUGGGAACUCAAAGGAGACUGCCGGUGAUAAACCGGAGGAAGGUGGGGAUGACGUCAAGUCAUCAUGGCCCUUAUGAGUAGGGCUACACACGUGCUACAAUGGCGUAUACAAAGAGAAGCGACCUCGCGAGAGCAAGCGGAACUCAUAAAGUACGUCGUAGUCCGGAUUGGAGUCUGCAACUCGACUCCAUGAAGUCGGAAUCGCUAGUAAUCGUAGAUCAGAAUGCUACGGUGAAUACGUUCCCGGGCCUUGUACACACCGCCCGUCACACCAUGGGAGUGGGUUGCAAAAGAAGUAGGUAGCUUAACCUUCGGGAGGGCGCUUACCACUUUGUGAUUCAUGACUGGGGUGAAGUCGUAACAAGGUAACCA
rnacentral:rRNA from 1 species